UUUUUUUUUUUUUUUUUCUUUUUUCUUGAGGGCAUAGCAGUUUUGACGAUGAUCUUUCCAGAUUUCCAGCUUCAUAAAUGGCCCCUAAAGGGCAGCUUGGCUAGUCCCUUUACUACAAGCUUGAAGAGUAUAAUGGUGGUGGUAGGAAGUGGGGUUGCACUUAAGUACCAUAAGGAUGCCGAGCAUCAAGACAUGCUAUGCUAAAUCACUAUACAGGUGCCCCACUUCCGGCAUUGGUGGCUCUGGGUGCAGCGUAUGAGGAAGCCCUUGGCCCAUGAGUUAGUCAAUAGACAAGCCAUAUUCAUGGCCAGUUGACUUAUGCUUGUAUGGUGUAAGGCCAGGAAGAGCUUUGCUUUCUGAGUUCUUUUGGCUGGUUAUACAUUGACGCCUAAUUAUAAAUCAGGCAGUUAUAUUGCAGUAAAACCACAUGUCCAGCUGCAUUUGCUUCUGCAUCUGUCCUGCCCUUGGCUUAUGAGUCUUCAGUCUUCUCUUCUUUGUACCUCAUUGCUGUCUACCGCUCUUCCAUUCCCAAAUCUUCCCUAAUGAAAAUCUUUGAGUGGAGGUAAAAAUAAAUUCCUAUUUUUACACUUUUCUCUUCUGUUGGUGGUGUUUUAAUUUUGUCAGCCAUUCAGUACGUAUUUACUGAGUGCCUUCUAUUUUCCUGGUACUAUUUAAGUUGUACCAUGAGACUGAUUUUGAAUUUGAAAAGUGGCAGAUGAGUGGGAAGUAACUAAGUUAAAAAGAAGGAAAAGAGCACCCUUGACUGAAGAAACAGUGCAAAGGCCCAGUGGUAGGAAGCUGCGCCCAGGUUUGAUAAAUGGAAGUUAGAUACAGAGGCAGGAGAACCAAAAGUGAGAGGCAGAAGGAUAGAAAAAGAAGCUCCCCCAAUUGUCAGGAAAUUUGAUAGUCUUGUAGGCCAUGUAAAAAUGUUUGAUCCUUAUUCUAAGAUGAACCUGAAACCACCAAAGAAUUUUUAGCUGUGACAUUACAGGAUCAAAUCUGCAUUUUAAGCUCCCAUUCUGGCUGUGCCACGCAGAAUAAAGCCAGGUGGGGAGAAGACGGCUGAGGGUGGUCAAAGGAAGCCUAGCUGAUGUGUGAUUGUAGCUUUUCAAGAGAGAAACUGAGUUAGUUUGGUCUACAGCUGGCCAAUAUAGUGGAGCACAAUGGAUAUUUUUGAGACAUACCUAGAUGGUUAAUGCUGUAGGCUAGAUGGAUUGGGUAUAAGUGUCACAUUUAAUGUUGUCUCUUUCAGUGCGUUUCAGUCAUCAUUGAGCAGGUAGAUGGUCUCUCUUUAUUUUUCUUAUCUAAUUAUUUGCUUUGCUGGGAGGAAUUUCCAGGUGCUCCAGGGUCACACUGUCUAUGCAUGAGUCAUACUUUCGUGACUUAGUGGAGGAGGUACAAGUGUACUUUUUCUGAGGAUGACGCCACUUCAAAGGUACUGCUGUGGCAGAGGUUCCUGGUGGUACCCUACUUUCAAAAGAAGGUGGGAAACUCAGGAGGAGGUGAAGAAGACCAAGCGAGAGAAGGAAUUAAAGUUUUUAGUGAAUUAUAGGGAUUAUAGGGAUAAUUGCCACCAUGAAAUAAUUCUUAAUUUUCUGUACUGUUGUACUUUGUACGUGUUGGGUCCUUUUUUAAGAAAUCUUGAAAUGUUGCUCGGAGUGAUCCUGAGCCCUGUUUUUCACAUCCAGUUGAGCAAAUUGGGGUUAGUAACUGUUUAAUCUCAGCAUACUGUAAAAUUAAACUGCAAAGAUUAUUUUCUGUAACAAGAGCUCUCAAAGGUACAUUUAGUUGAGCUUUUUAUUAUAUUUUAUUUUGUAUUUGGUGUGUCAUUGAUAUUGGUGAUGUUGCUUUUCUGACAGUUUCAUAACUAGUUAUUCUCAUUGUGUUUGCUGUCAGAAUCCCUACUCUCACAACUGAAUGCGAACGUCUUAAUUAAUUGUGAGCUAAAGAAGGUACCGGGUUGUGCCUGCAGCAUGUGGAAGUUCCCAGGCUAGGAGUCGAAUUAGAGCUGCAGCUGCCAGCCUAGGCCACAGCCACAGCAAUGCAGGAUCCCAGCUGCAUCCGACACCACAGCUCAUGGCAACACUGGAUCCUUAACCCACUGAGCGAGGCCAGGGAUCGAACCUGCUGAAUGUCAGUAUUUUUUACUGCUGAAUGUCUAGUGCCUAGAACAGCGGGCUGUCAAAAAUUAUUGUGGAAUCCACAAAUGACAGGAAUAAAUGCAUACAUUAUCUGGUUCUAAUUUGGAAACCCAGUCGAUCAGCUUGUCCCAUUUAGGGAAUGCCAUCUCCUUUCAUCCAUCACAGAAGCCACAAUCUUGGGAUCACGCCUAACUUCUUUGCCUUUCAUCCUCCCUAUGUUCAAUCCUUAUAUUUUAUCCAUUCUGCUUCCGCAAUAGCUCAUGAAUUCCUCUACUUACCCUAGGAACCUAGAACCAUGGUUGCCUGUUUGGACAGGCAUUAUCUCCUGUCUUUUUAGCGUCUGUGUACUCCCCGUCCUACAACGGGAAUAAACGUCCCCGUCCUACAAGGGAAUAGACGUCCCCGUCCUACAAGGGAAUAGACGUCCCCGUCACCAUCAUGACUAUGUCCCUUCGCUGCCUAAAACCCUUUAACAUCAAAACGGUUCUGUGGGGUAGCAGCGAUAUUAAUGCCCAAUCUAUACAAUCUCUCCUUUGCCCAUCUGUGUUGCCUGAAGUUGCAGACAGAUUCUGGCAAGCCAUCAACUUCGGAGGGCUUCCCAGAGAAGGUAUAUGAUGAAUCUCUCUCUCUCUACAUGAGGGAUUUUGCUUUCACCAGGGCAGCUGGCUCAGUGCUCAGACACCCAUCUGGAGCAACUCUCAAAGAAUGGGGAUGGCGUCCAUAAAUGCCCCAGCCAUCCUGGCUUCCCUGGCUUUCAGUAGGGGUGAUUCUUAGACCCUGCCCCCAACAUGGGCCAUCACAGGGAUAUAGUAUCUGUUGAGGUUUAUUGCCCACACCCAUAACCAGCUCAUUAACAGAGCUUUUCUUGGACUUACUUCUUUCCUUAUUUCUUCCUCGGUUGUGUAUCCUGAAAUCAACUCUUCAGUAAACUCCCAGAAUCCAAGGCCUUGUCUCAGGGUCUGCUCUUGGGAAGACACAAAUGUUGAUACGUGACUUAUGUAGCCUCGUGGAUCCAGAGCCUCUUGGGUCUCAUCUUUGCGUCUCUCUCUCUCUCCCCAGGUUAUUUUUCUCAGUCAACAACUGCUUUCCUAUCCACACCAACCUUGUUUUUUGGCCACUCUAAUUCCUUGAGUGUACAUGCUCUUUCUAACUUUGAAAGCCUUUGCUUGCUUUGGCCUGUAUGUUCAAUGUUACCUCCGUCCUCCAGCACGAACCAAGUGCCUGUUCAAACAGGUGUCCAAUGAAUGCUGGCUCAAAUAAUUGGAGCCUGAAAUGAGUUCCAGCUCUUGUAAUUCCACAGAGAAGUCAAAUCAUUUCAGUUUAUUUUUAUGCAAUAUAUUACGGGGACAUUGCUAAAAUUCUGAGAACAUAUAUAAGCAGAUUAGUAACAUACAAUAAUUUUUAAAAUUUCCAAUACAUGUUUUUCUUCUUAACCUGCUUGGAAUUAUCCAGGUGCAAACUAUCAACUCUUUUCAUUUGGAAACAAUGAAAUAUUCAGCUGUCCAGAGAAUAAAUGUAUUUGAAUAACAUGAUUUUUUAAUAAGCUAAUAUUAACUUAAAUUUUUCUUUUUAGAAUAAGUCAAGUCCUUUUUAUGGUGGAUUAUCACAUUCUUAUUCUUAAUAUGGCUUUUUUUUUUUUUUUUUGCCAAAAAUGUUCCCUGAAAGUAGCAUUUGCUUGGUUUUAAAUAAACUUUUAAGUUGUAUUAGCAAGAGCCAAAGUGAUGAUAGAAUUAGACUCAUUAUGCUUUUAUUUUACUACAAUAAUCUUAGCAAGAGAUAUAUCUGAUCUUAAGCAUAUAAUUAGGGCAUUUGAAGUAAUCCAUGCUUUAACAUGAUUUGAGAUGAUAAAUGCCAGUUACAAGAAACAUGGUACUGCUCCUUUUACUGUUCCUCUUUCUCUCUUUCUUACAACUAAUCACUCACUAAUAACUUGGGCUCCUUUUUUCACAGUGUUUUAAAUUUGGUAAGAUUUG
rnacentral:lncRNA from 1 species